UAGCUGAGCUCCAUGUGACUGACUCUGUGUGUUUGCAUAUGUGUCCUGCCUCUCUGCUCCCAGCUGUUAAGAGGUCAGUGUUGAUCAGUGGCUGUCCAGGCCUUUCAGAGCCACUGACACACCAGCAGCACAAUGAUGAUGUUACUGACUCUACUGCUGACCACCCUGGGGCUCCUGCUUCACGGUUCAUCAGGAGACAUCAUCCUUACUCAGAGUCCUGGAUCUCAGUCUGUUGCUUCAGGACAAACGGUCUCAAUAAAAUGUAAGACCAGCUCAGGUGUAGGUAGCUGGCUUCACUGGUACCUUCAGAAACCAUCAGAAGCUCCUAAACUCCUGAUUUAUAGAGCUACAUCUCGUCAGUCUGGAGUUCCAGCUCGUUUCAGUGGAAGUGGAUCUGGUUCUGACUACACUCUGACCAUCAGUGGAGUUCAGGCUGAAGAUUCAGGAGUUUAUUACUGUCAGCAGAGUUACGAUACAUCGUACACACAGUGA